AGCUGACGUCACGCCCAGACGUCCCAAGGUAUGAGCUGUAGAUACGCACGUGAGCGCUGGUGGGAGACGCCAGGCUGGGAUUUCCGCUCGAUCUGGGAAUGAGCAAUGCAACCUAAUGACACCCAGAGCUCCUGAAUCACCCGAGGAAAAUGACGAGAGACUCCCUCCGGUGGGAACGUCUCCUAGAAACAAGGCCUAAGAUGGGGCGACAACAGCCCCACAGCUGUGUCCAGAUGCAGGGAGCACUCGCCUGUGCUGUAAGUCUGUCCCACAGUGGAGAAAAGGCUCAGACCCCACGGCUCUGCUGUCCACCCUCAGUGCGGGGGAGAGGGGGGAUCCAUAUCGGCAGUCAAGGAGCGGGAAUCUGAAAAGGCCAAGGCUGAACCCUGCACAGAACCCAGACCUCCGUGUGCCUCCAGAAACAGCCGAGGCUGGGCCUUCCUUGAGAUACUCUUCAACUUCAAGGCUCUUCUCACCUGAGCUCCUUGGAAGCUGUCCCAGACAGCUGCUGGUCCCUCCUCUGUCCCCACUGUGCAGAGUGUGGCCCCACUGGAGAGACUGUUUUUCCCCCCGUGUAUUGGAGUCAGUCACCCUCACCUGGAAGAAUGGGACUGUUGAAUUGAGGCAUCAUGGGUCACUUCCAUCCCAGAGCGUUUGAUUUGAGUGGUGAGGGACGGCCGGUGUCAUCGUUGGAGCUUCCUAAGAGUCCCAGAGGCUGAUGCACCUCCCAGACUCUCCUCGGCCCGGCUCCCUGGGCCCUGCUCCAGGGGCUUCAUUGCUCCCUGCCCCGGGUCACCCCUCGGCUCACCGUCUCUCAGGUGUGGAAUAUCCUGCUCCAAUCAAAGCCAUGUCACCUGCGUUGUCCAGUGAAACAUCAGUGGACAGGCGCUGCCCGGGCUCCAGGGAGCUCCUCACUGAGGCUCACUCCCUGUGCCUCUGCCAUCAGCACAGGGGGACAUGCCUGGCUGCCUGUGGGACCAGGGAGGACGCGCGGUGCGGGAGCAGAGCCAGCCACACUGCCGCUGCUGCACUGUUCAUCUGAGUGGCGCAAGGGCAAGGAGAGGACCGUGCAUCCUCAGUGACAGUGGUGCCUCACCAUGCUUUAGAGAAGCCUGUCCUUGCCCCCGAGCUGCUCUCCAUGGAGUCCUGUUUGCGCACCGGAGGUCCCUGUGAAGGAGCGUCCAUCAGGUCUGGACGUGCACCUGACCUCGCUGACUGAGAACGUGGUGACUAAGGUGACUAAUGCUCCAUUACUUCUGCGUCUGAUACCCAGGUCCAUGCAGGCUUCUCUGGCCUCUGUCCUUGGAUCCUUAAAUUAAUCCAAGGAUGCAGCAGUUGGGGCCUCACUGGAGAACUCGUGUAUUUACCACACAGGAGACUGAGGCAGGGAGUGGGUUACGGAGGGGACGGGAGAGCUGAGAAGUCAGAUGGGGGCUGGGAGGCAACUCAGAGGCCAGGAGAGAAGGCGGCGGCUCCAUCCCUGGGCUGGAGCGGGGUGGGUGGUGCUGGCGGAGCCCAGGGCUGGGGUCUCUGGGGAAGCUGGACCCACAGCAGCCUCGGUGUGCAGGAACGACGUGCGCAGCAGGCCGGAGGCUGCCUGAUUCUGACGCGUGUUCAUGGAGGCCCGUGUGCAGCGAUGAGCCCCAGCCAGCAUCCGGGUGAUCCCCAGCCAGCAUCCGGGUGAUCCCCAGCCAGCAUCCGGGUAAUCCCCAGCCAGCAUCCGGGUGAUCCCCAGCCAGCAUCCGGGAACUUGGCUUUUGGAACGUUUCCUGAGUGACUGGUUGACCAGGUCGUUUGUGCACUCAGGGAACUAAGCCGUUCCCUACCAGCUGCCUGGACUCUGCAGUGUGAUCAGCGCACGCCUGACUUCUGUCACCACAGUGGCUGCACAGGCAGAGGGUGCCUAUGUGACCAGCCCCCUGUAGAAGCCCCGCACUCGGAGACCUACACGGCCUCCCUGGGAAGCGACACUCUGGAUGUGUUGCUGACUUGGUUGCUGGAGCAAGACGCGUGUUUGGUGGACUCCCCUGGGUCUUUCUCCCCUGCUGAUCUUGCUACGUGGCCUUUCUCUGUAAUAAGCCAUGGAGUCCACUCUCUAAUCACGCAGUGUGUGGUGGCCCCAGGACCCCUGAGACGUGGAGCUGGCAGGGAAGACAGGCAGCUGCCCGAGGCGCUUGAGGCAGAGAAGGAUGGGGAAUAGCCUGGCUCCUCCCCGCCCCCCAUCACCCACCAGGGCCUCUCACUGUCUGAGCUCAGCCUGAGGCUAGCUGACCAGGGGUGUGGGAAGCCCAACUCUACAAAUUCGCAGCAGAUCAGCCCCCAACCCCCACAAAUUCCCAGCAGAUCAGGAAGGGCGGGGCAUGGAUGAAAGGGCAUCAGGGCCACAGGCCCAGGACAGGCACGUGGGUUGCUCUUGGAGGCAUUUGCAGGUACACUAAGAAGCUCCAGGAAGGACACACACACACACAUAUACACACACAUACACAUACAUAUGCACACACAUACAUACACAGACACACACACACACGUACACAGACACACAGACACACAUACACACACACAUUCCCCUGCCCUCCCAUCUCCAGACCUUGCGGUCCCCAUGAGCUUCCCGAUUCCUGGCACUGCCGGGCUGUCCUGAAGGCUCUUUUGGCCAGAAAUGGGCAGGGAUCUGAGAGCACCUGCUGUCGGGUGAGUCCUACUGUACUCAUGUCAGAGAUUAGGACGAGAAGACACAGGAGUGAGCUGGGCUGGAGUCUCAGCUGCAGAUGACAAGGAGAGCACAGUGGAAAGCCUGGCCCACCUCCCCUCCCCACUGGGCCCCUGGGUGGGAUACCACCAUUUCCAGAAUGGGCUGUGGGUUGCGCGGGCUCCUGAGGUUCGCUGAACCGGGGCUCUGAGGGGUCCCCAAAGUGCUUCCUCCCUGUCCUGUGCCCCCACCCCAUGGGGUGGAAGAGCCGCCCACAGGCCUGGGUUCCGCCAUGCACAAGGGAACUGGACCUUGGUGACUAUUCAGGAGGGAGUCUCCGGGCUGCCCUUCCCAUGACCACAUGUCAAUCCCCUUUGGCCCCAAGGGAAUUUCUCAUAACCCUCCCUUGGAGGAGCCCCCUCGGUGCCAGCCCACCCUCAUCACUCUCUCCUGAACCCCCAUGAACAGACUCCGUGGCGCCUCCACCUGCCUUUGUCCCGCCAACCCUCCCUGUCCAGAGCAGCCAUGGGGCCUCUUACAGUUUUAAGUCUGUCUGCAUCACGCGUUUCCUCAGAGUCUCCUCAGGCUGGGUGAGUCCUCGUCCUAAUAGGCCCUGACUGCCUGGCGCUGCCUACCUCUCCUGCCUCAGCAGGAGCUGCCCACACCUGUCCUCAGCCAACCAAGCUCCUAACCGUCGGGGAUCCUGGGACUCGGGCCUGCCUUUGCUGGACACUUCCGUCAGAUUUCUACCUGGCCACGUUCCACUCUUUCUUAAGGAUUCUGCUUAAAAGUCACGUCCUCUAAGGCUCCUCGCUGGCCUUCCCCACCACAUUGAUGUCCAGAUGAAGAAACAAAAGUUCUGAGAGGUCUUCAGGAACUUGUAUAUAAUUACAGAGGUAAUAAGGAUUGGUUGGAAAUGAAACCAAGGGCUACCUCCUGUCCCCAAAGCUCAUGCUCUUAACCCCUUCACCAUGAGUUUCUGGUUCUAUUCCUAGACUCUAGGCAUCAUAUACUCCUGUUAAUACUUUCUGUCUUCAAGCAAGUCCAUUUACAUUUAUAUUAUAAAAGGUUAAAUUGUUCAUGAAUAUAGCUUCUAGAUUCAGACCACCUGGAUUCAAAUUUAGACUCCACAUAUACUGGCUGUGAGAUAUUGCCCAGUGUGCAUAAUCUUGCCAAGGCCUCAAUUUCUUCACUUAUAGUAUAGGGAAGACAGUAUGGCCUACCUAGUGACAAUGGAUGGUUGUGAGGAUUAAACGAGAUAAAUCAUGUAAAGCAUUUGCCUGACUCUUAUUAAGUGUUCAAUAAUACUCUCAUAGAGUGUAAACUCCUUUGAAAUUAGGCAUAAGACUUUAGGUAUAUAAAGAGCCUGAACAGAGAUGUACUUGAAUUCACGUCUUUAUAAAACACAAAAAUUAUUGCAACAAUCUUCAAAUAGUCUUCAAGCCUUCUCCACACAUUGUUGUAAUCUAUGUAAAGGAAAAUAAAAAAAUCUCAGCCAGGAGCGGUGGCUGAAGCCUGUAAUCCCAGCACUUUG
rnacentral:lncRNA from 1 species